rnacentral:lncRNA from 1 species
CUGGACCAGAACAGAGGAGGGAUCCUGAGAGGAGUGGUGUAGUAGUAGAUCUGGACCAGAACAGAGAGGAGUGGUGUAGUAGUAGAUCUGUACCAGAACAGAGAGGAGUGGUGUAGUAGUAGAUCUGGACCAGAACAGAGAGGAGUGGUGUAGUAGUAGAUCUGGACCAGAACAGAGAGGAGUGGUGUAGUAAUAGAUCUGGACCAGAACAGAGAGGAGUGGUGUAGUAGAUCUGUACCAGAACAGAGAGGAGUGGUGUAGUAGAUCUGUACCAGAACAGAGAGGAGUGGUGUAGUAGUAGAUCUGGACCAGAACAGAGAGGAGUGGUGUAGUAGUAGAUCUGGACCAGAACAGAGAGGAGUGGUGUAGUAGAUCUGUACCAGAACAGAGAGGAGUGGUGUAGUAGUAGAUCUGUACCAGAACAGAGAGGAGUGGUGUAGUAGUAGAUCUGGACCAGAACAGAGAGGAGUGGUGUAGUAGUAGAUCUGGACCAGAACAGAGAGGAGUGGUGUAGUAGUAGAUCUGGACCAGAACAGAGGAGGGAUCCUGAGAGGAGUGGUGUAGUAGUAGAUCUGGACCAGAACAGAGAGGAGUGGUGUAGUAGUAGAUCUGUACCAGAACAGAGAGGAGUGGUGUAGUAGUAGAUCUGGACCAGAACAGAGAGGAGUGGUGUAGUAGUAGAUCUGGACCAGAACAGAGAGGAGUGGUGUAGUAGUAGAUCUGGACCAGAACAGAGAGGAGUGGUGUAGUAGAUCUGUACCAGAACAGAGAGGAGUGGUGUAGUAGAUCUGUACCAGAACAGAGAGGAGUGGUGUAGUAGUAGAUCUGGACCAGAACAGAGAGGAGGAUCCUGAGAGGAGUGGUGUAGGAGGGAUAAACCAACAAGUGAUAUAUGUUUCAGUAAGAUUGGAUUUUAUAGUUAAAAGUCUCAUAACAUAGCGGUGGUGGCAGCAGCAGAGAGGACUUGAUGUGUCCCAUCCUUUCAGGUUGUUGGCCUGAAGUAGAAUUAAAAAGAUUUGUGGUUUCUAGUGAGUGUAGGGUUAGAUGGUAGAUGGUAAUGAGUGUAGGGGUAGAUGGUAGAUGGUAGUGAGUGUAGGGUUAGAUGGUAGAUGGUAGGGUAUUUAAAUAGUGGAGUAGGGUGGUAGGUUGGUAAUGAGUGUAGGGUUAGAUGGUAGAUGGUAGGGUAUUUAAAUAGUGUAGUAGGGUGGUAGGUGGUAAUGAGUGUAGGGUUAGAUAGUAGAUGGUAAUGAGUGUAGGGUUAGAUGGUAGAUGGUAAUGAGUGUAGGGUUAGAUGGUAGAUGGUAAUGAGUGUAGGGUUAGAUGGUAGAUGGUAAUGAGUGUAGGGGUAGAUGGUAGAUGGUAAUGAGUGUAGGGGUAGAUGGUAGAUGGUAAUGAGUGUAGGGUUAGAUGGCAGAUGGUAAUGAGUGUAGGGUUAGAUGGUAGAUGGUAAUGAGUGUAGGGUUAGAUGGUAGAUGGUAAUGAGUGUAGGGUUAGAUGGUAGAUGGUAAGGAGUGUAGGGUUAGAUGGUAGAUGGUAAUGAGUGUAGGGUUAGAUGGUAGAUGGUAAUGAGUGUAGGGUUAGAUAGUAGAUGGUAAUGAGUGUAGGGUUAGAUGGUAGAUGGUAAUGAGUGUAGGGUUAGAUGUUAAUGAGUGUAGGGUUAGAUGGUAGAUGGUAAUGAGUGUAGGGUUAGAUGGUAGAUGGUAAUGAGUGUAGGGUUAGAUGGUAGGUGGUAAUGAGUGUAGGGUUAGAUGGUAGAUGGUAAUGAGUGUAGGGUUAGAUGGUAGAUGGUAAUGAGUGUAGGGUUAGAUGGUAGAUGGUAAUGAGUGUAGGGUUAGAUGGUAGGUGGUAAUGAGUGUAGGGUUAGAUGGUAGAUGGUAAUGAGUGUAGGGUUAGAUGGUAGGUGGUAAUGAGUGUAGGGUUAGAUGGUAGGUGGUAAUGAGUGUAGGGUUAGAUGGUAGGUAGUAAUGAGUGUAGGGUUAGAUGGUAGAUGGUAGAUGGUAGGGUAUUUAAAUAGUGAAGUAGGGUGGUAGGUGGUAAUGAGUGUAGGGUUAGAUGGUAGAUGGUAAUGAGUGUAGGGUUAGAUGGUAGGGUAUUUAAAUAGUGUAGUAGGGUGGUAGAUGGUAAUGAGUGUAGGGUUAGAUGGUAGAUGGUAAUGAGUGUAGGGUUAGAUGGUAGAUGGUAAGGUAUUUAAAUAGUGUAGUAGGGUGGUAGAUGGUAAUGAGUUUAGGGUUAGAUGGUAGAUGGUAAUGAGUGUAGGGUUAGAUGGUAGAUGGUAAUGAGUGUAGGGGUAGAUGGUAGAUGGUAAUGAGUGUAGGGUUAGAUGGUAGAUGGUAAUGAGUGUAGGGUUAGAUGGCAGAUGGUAAUGAGUGUAGGGUUAGAUGGUAGAUGGUAAUGAGUGUAGGGUUAGAUGGCAGAUGGUAAUGAGUGUAGGGUUAGAUGGUAGAUGGUAGGAAUAUUUGUUGAUUUAUUCAUUUUUAGUUUCAAGCAAAGUGUAAAGGAGUUAAACUCCAGUCUAGUAAGUGGCGGUAAUGCAACAUUUAUUGGAUGCCCAACACUGUUAAACCUCCUCGAUAAAGGUGAAAAAUAAUAAAUAAUAAUAAAUAAUAAUAAAGGUGAAGAAAAGAAAAUGGAAGAAGAACGUUGAACUGCACCGCUAGAUGGCAGCAGAUCACCUGGUGUCAAGCAGUCUGAUAGCGCAGAGGUUUGGUCCAAGAAGACCUGUAGUCUGUGAUGUUAUUCCCUCCUCCUCCUCCAUGUGAUGUUAUUCCCUCCUCCUCCUCUAUGUGAUGUUAUUCCCUCCUCCUCCUCCUCCGUGUGAUGUUAUUCCCUCCUCCAUGUGAUGUUAUUCCCUCCUCCUCCUCCUCCAUGUGAUGUUAUUCCCUCCUCCUCCUCCAUGUGAUGUUAUUC